GAUGAACGCUAGCGGGAGGCCUAACACAUGCAAGCCGAGCGGUAUUGUUUCUUCGGAAAUGAGAGAGCGGCGUACGGGUGCGUAUCACGUGUGCAACCUGCCUUUAUCUGGGGGAUAACCUUUCGAAAGGAAGAUUAAUACUCCAUAACAUAUUGAACGGCAUCGUUUAAUAUUGGAAGCUCCGGCGGAUAGAGAUGGGCACGCGCAAGAUUAGCUAGUUGGUGAGGUAACGGCUCACCAAGGCGAUGAUCUUUAGGGGGCCUGAGAGGGUGAUCCCCCACAUUGGUACUGAGACACGGACCAGACUCCUACGGGAGGCAGCAGUGAGGAAUAUUGGUCAAUGGGUGCAAGCCUGAACCAGCCAUCCCGCGUGAAGGACGACUGCCCUAUGGGUUGUAAACUUCUUUUGUAUAGGGAUAAACCUACCCUCGAGAGGGUAGCUGAAGGCACUAUACGAAUAAGCACCGGCUAACUCCGUGCCAGCAGCCGCCGUAAGAC
rnacentral:rRNA from 1 species